CAGUAGCCGCGGGAAUACGGAGGGGGCUAGCGUUGUUCGGAAUUACUGGGCGUAAAGCGCACGUAGGCGGCUUGGUAAGUUAGAGGUGAAAGCCUGGAGCUCAACCCCGGAACUGCCUUUGAAACUAGGUGACUAGAAUCUUGGAGAGGUCAGUGGAAUUCUCGGUGUAGCAGUGAAAUGCGUGGAUAUCGAGAGGAACACUCGUGGCGAAGGCGAGUCACUGGACAACAUCUGACGCUGAGGCUCGAAGGCUAGGGUAGCGAAAGGGAUUAGAUACCCCCGUAGUCCCUGUCUCUUAUAC
rnacentral:rRNA from 1 species